ensembl:lncRNA
GAAACCGGGAACAGCGCUGCCGCGGGAAAACCCGGAAGCGGCGGCAGCUGCUGAGUGGCAGGCAGAGGCGGCGGCGCCGGGAGCGUCCGCAGAGAACGGACCGGCAGCGGCGCCGGGCGCAUCUGCAGAGCGCCGGCCAGAGACGGCAGCGCCGAGCGUGCCCGGGGAGCGCGAAACAGCAGCGGAAGCGGCGACCGCGCCGAACGUGGCUGCUGUGCGGGAGACGGCCGUGGCGCCGGGCGCAGCCGUAGCCCCAGAGUCGGCUGCAGCUUCAGUACCGGCUCGGUCGGAUCUGGCCGAGACGGCCUCCCGUAAAGAGACUGCUGUACAAACUGCCGCGCAGCCAGCUGCAGUCUGUCCUGUCUGUUCUGGCUCUGGCGAACUUAGCCAAAGUGCCUCACCUCCCCGUACAUUUCUGUUCCCUCCCAGCACCCCAAAGUUGCCUUUGCCUGAUGAUUCCUCGUCAGGCAGCGAGGCAGAUGAGGUUCUGGCUCCAGGUCGUCAGGCGGCUGUAGCCGCGCGGCGAAGAAAAAGGCUGCGCCGGUCUCGCCCCUGGACCUUUCCGGACUGCACGGUAACAGUGCGUCCGACGCAUCAUAAUCACUUCCUAGAGUCUCUUAAGAUGCAAACAUUGGGGGAGGGUGACUGGAGGUUAUUAGAAAUCCUUGGAAUGCCAAAUAGAUCUGAGGGUUCUGGGGGUAACCGGGGAGCUGUUACACUCCAUCCGCAGGCUGUGCCCGAAGUUCAGGAUGGUACUGGUUCCCCAAAAGAGAUCCAUGCUUUCCCAGUGUAUAAGGCUCUCCCAGAUUCAGGAGAGCAUGACAAGCAUGAGGUAAUUGCUUGGAAAGUUGCCCAGGACCUCCAUUCCAAGGUGGCACAAUAUGGACUAGGUUCUGCUGAGGUUAUGCAGAUAAUAAGGGUGAUAAAUACAGAUUUGCUUUCUCCAUUUGAUAUCAGACACUUAGGUCAAAUUCUAUUUCAACCUGUACAAUUUACAGUUUUUGAAACAACCUGGAGAAAGCUGGCCGGCAAGACUGCAUUAGCAAAUUUGCAGCUCCCUGCUGCUGAUCCUAGACAGACAGCAGGAGUGGAUGCUUUGAUGGGGACUGGUCCCUUCUCUGAUCCCAGUCUAC